GAUGAACGCUGGCGGCGUGCCUAAUACAUGCCAGUCGAGCGAACAGACGAGGAGCUUGCUCCCCUAACGUUAGCGGCGGACGGGUGAGUAACACGUGGAUCACCUACCUAUAUGACUGGGAUAACUUCGGGAAACAGGAGAUACUACCGCAUAAUAUAUUGAACCGCAUGGAUCAAUAGUGAAAGACGCUUUUCGUGUUACUUAUAGCUGAAUCCGCGUCGCAUUAGCUAGUUGGUAAGGUAACGGCCUACCAAGGCUACGAUGCGUAGCUGACCUGAGAGGAUGAUCGGCCACACUGGAACUGAGACACGGUCCAGACUCCUACGGGAGGCAGCAGUAGGGAAUCUUCCGCAAUGGGCGAAAGCCUGACGGAGCAACGCCGCGUGAGUGAUGAAGGUCUUCGGAUCGUAAAACUCUGUUAUUAGGGAAGAACAAAUGUGGAAGUAACUAUGCACGUCUUGACGGUACCUAAUCAGAAAGCCACGGCUAACUACGUG
rnacentral:rRNA from 1 species